GGCAGUGUACUUGCUGGUGGUCAUCAAUAUCAAAAGGCUCCAGGAACUUGAGGUGCAGGGUGAGGCCCCGCUCCACCCGGAUGCUGUAGUUGCAGCGCAGGAACAGAAGUAGCCUCCAACGUAGUUGUGACACAGGUGCUGGCACUGGGGCUGGGGAUCCUCCUCCCCUGAUUUGCUCCGGGAAGCACAUUCAUCAAGGU
rnacentral:lncRNA from 1 species